rnacentral:rRNA from 1 species
GACGAACGCUGGCGGCGUGCUUAACACAUGCAAGUCGAACGGAGCACCCUUGAAUGAGGUUUCGGCCAAAGGAAAGGAAUGCUUAGUGGCGGACUGGUGAGUAACGCGUGAGGAACCUGCCUUUCAGAGGGGGACAACAGCUGGAAACGGCUGCUAAUACCGCAUGACGCAUUCGGAUGGCAUCAUCUGAAUGCCAAAGAUUUAUCGCUGAAAGAUGGCCUCGCGUCUGAUUAGAUAGUUGGCGGGGUAAUGGCCCACCAAGUCGACGAUCAGUAGCCGGACUGAGAGGUUGACCGGCCACAUUGGGACUGAGAUACGGCCCAGACUCCUACGGGAGGCAGCAGUGGGGAAUAUUGCACAAUGGAGGAAACUCUGAUGCAGCGACGCCGCGUGAGUGAAGAAGUAUUUCGGUAUGUAAAGCUCUAUCAGCAGGGAAGAUAAUGACGGUACCUGACUAAGAAGCACCGGCUAAA